GUUUUCAUUUUAGAUUCUCGAUCAUUCUUCUUAUCAAAAAUUUAAAGUAGUUAUUCGCCGACUGUGCAGUGCGUAAAUUCACAGCAAUACUAACCUAAACAAACACAAUAUACUAGGCACAAGGACUUUGGCUCAGCCGUUUUUUUAAUAUUUCUUGUAUUGUCAUAAAAACACAGUGAUCAUGUAUUUCAAUAAAACACAUAUACCAGUUACAGAAAACUGGUGCAACUUGAACGCCCGUGAUUUUAUUUGCCGGCA